rnacentral:rRNA from 1 species
CCUCCCUACGGGGGGCAGCAGUCGGGAAUAUUGCGCAAUGGAGGAAACUCUGACGCAGUGACGCCGCGUAUAGGACGAAGGUCUUCGGAUUGUAAACUUCUGUCGCGAGGGACGAAGAAUGACGGUACCUCGUAAGAAAGCCCCGGCUAACUACGUGCCAGCAGCCGCGGUAAUACGUAGGGGGCAAGCGUUGUCCGGAAUGACUGGGCGUAAAGGGAGUGUAGGCGGCCUUGUAAGUUAGAUGUGAAAUCCUACGGCUUAACCGUAGAACUGCAUCUAAAACUGUGAGGCUGGAGUGCAGGAGG